GACGUAGGGCGCGAGCGUUGUCCGGAUUUAUUGGGCGUAAAGAGCUCGUAGGCGGCUUGUCGCGUCGACUGUGAAAACCCGUGGCUCAACCAUGUGGUCUGCAGUCGAUACGGGCAGGCUAGAAUUCGGUAGGGGAGACUGGAAUUCCUGGUGUAGCGGUGAAAUGCGCAGAUAUCUGGGGGAAGGCCGGCGGCGAAGGCGCCAUUCUGGGAAAUUCCUGACACUGAGGCACGAAAGCGUGGGGAGCAAACAGG
rnacentral:rRNA from 1 species